rnacentral:rRNA from 1 species
GAUGAACGCUGGCGGCGUGCCUAAUACAUGCAAGUCGAGCGAACAGACGAGGAGCUUGCUCCUCUGACGUUAGCGGCGGACGGGUGAGUAACACGUGGAUAACCUACCUAUAAGACUGGGAUAACUUCGGGAAACCGGGGCAAAUACCGGAUAAUAUAUUAACCCGCAUGGUUAAUUAGUGAAAGACGGUUUUGCUGUCACUUAUAGAUGGAUCCGCGCCGCAUUAGCUAGUUGGUAAGGUAACGGCUUACCAAGGCAACGAUGCGUAGCCGACCUGAGAGGGUGAUCGGCCACACUGGAACUGAGACACGGUCCAGACUCCUACGGGAGGCAGCAGUAGGGAAUCUUCCGCAAUGGGCGAAAGCUUGACGGAGCAACGCCGCGUGAGUGAUGAAGGUCUUCGGAUCGUAAAACUCUGUUAUUAGGGAAGAACAAAUGUGUAAGUAACUAUGCACGUCUUGACGGUACCUAAUCAGAAAGCCACGGCUAACUACGUG